AUGAGCUCGAGCAGCUUGCCCUUCAUGAGCGCUAUCAUGGCAACGGCCAGAUUCACACCGCAAGCGAUGGAGGAUCGGGCAACGGGGGAACUCCUUCAUCACGGUAGAUGCGUUGGAGGGCUCUACCCCAUUCCAUCCGGAGCACUAGGUCGCAAGCGUCGUCAAGUCUACUCCGUCAUCAAGCCCUUUUUGGCACGGUGGCAUCAACGAUUAGGGCAUUCAUCUUCGAUCAUCGUCAAACAAAUAGUCAAUAAAGACAAUCUUCUUUUGUCUCAUAGUCCAAAUAGUGAGUCCAUGUGUGAAGCUUGUCAAUGUGCCAAGAGCCAUCAGCUUCCUUAUCCCAAGUCAACUAGUGUGUCUCAUGCUUUGUUAGAACUUAUUUUCAGUGAUGUAUGGGGUCAUGCCAGAGAUUCUUUUGAUAGAAAAAAAUAUUAUGUCAGUUUUAUGGAUGAUUAUAACAAGUUUACUUGGAUAUAUUUGCUUUCAGAAACUUGUUGA
rnacentral:rRNA from 1 species